GAUGAACGCUGGCGGCGUGCCUAAUACAUGCAAGUCGAGCGAACAGACGAGGAGCUUGCUCCUCUGACGUUAGCGGCGGACGGGUGAGUAACACGUGGAUAACCUACCUAUAAGACUGGGAUAACUUCGGGAAACCGGAGCUAAUACCGGAUAAUAUAUUGAACCGCAUGGUUCAAUAGUGAAAGACGGUUUUGCUGUCACUUAUAGAUGGAUCCGCGCCGCAUUAGCUAGUUGGUAAGGUAACGGCUUACCAAGGCAACGAUGCGUAGCCGACCUGAGAGGGGGAUCGGCCACACGGGAACGGAGACACGGUCCAGACUCCUACGGGGGGCAGCAGUGGGGAAUCUUCCGCAAGGGGGGAAAGCCGGACGGAGCAACGCCGGGUGGGUGAUGAAGGUCUUCGGAUCGUAAAACUCUUUUAUUAGGGAAAAAAAAAUGUGAAAGUAACUAUGCACGUCUUGACGGUACCUAAUCAGAAAGCCACGGCUAACUACGU
rnacentral:rRNA from 1 species